rnacentral:rRNA from 1 species
GCGCAGCAGUCGAGAAACCUUCGCAAUGCAGGAAACUGCGACGAGGGAACUCCAAGUGCCUACGGCUCAGCGUAGGCUGUUCUCAAGCCUAGAAAGCUUGAGGAGUAAGGGCUGGGUAAGACGGGUGCCAUCUGUGGUAGCAGUCAAUAGAUUCGAUUUGUUACUGCAAGGCAUAAGCCGCCGCGGUAAUACCCGCAGCCCAAGUGGUGGCCGCUUUUAUUGGGCCUAAAGCGUCCGUAGCCGGCCCGGUAAAUGCCUGGGUAAAUCGUGGAGCCCAACUUCACGAAUUCCGGGUAGACUGCCGAGCUCGGGACCGGAAGAGGGAGAGGGUACUUCAGGGGUAGGGUGAAAAUUUCCUUCCAUUAACGCUUUGCGCGAAGCGGAAGGGGUUAUCA